rnacentral:rRNA from 1 species
GUGGGGAAUAUUGGACAAUGGGCGAAAGCCUGAUCCAGCCAUGCCGCGUGUGUGAAGAAGGUCUUCGGAUUGUAAAGCACUUUAAGUUGGGAGGAAGGGCAGUAAGUUAAUACCUUGCUGUUUUGACGUUACCGACAGAAUAAGCACCGGCUAACUCUGUGCCAGCAGCCGCGGUAAUACAGAGGGUGCAAGCGUUAAUCGGAAUUACUGGGCGUAAAGCGCGCGUAGGUGGUUCGUUAAGUUGGAUGUGAAAGCCCCGGGCUCAACCUGGGAACUGCAUCCAAAACUGGCGAGCUAGAGUACGGUAGAGGGUGGUGGAAUUUCCUGUGUAGCGGUGAAAUGCGUAGAUAUAGGAAGGAACACCAGUGGCGAAGGCGACCACCUGGACUGAUACUGACACUGAGGUGCGAAAGCAUGGGGAGCAAACAGGAUUAGAAACCCCGGUAGUCC